AUCCAGCUGACGAGUCUUAAAUAGGACGAAACGCGUGCCUUGUAU
rnacentral:hammerhead_ribozyme from 1 species